UACGUAGGGACCAAGCGUUGUUCGGAUUUACUGGGCGUAAAGGGCGCGUAGGCGGCUUAACAAGUCACUUGUGAAAUCUCCGGGCUUAACUCGGAACGGCCAAGUGAAACUGUCAAGCUAGAGUGCAGAAGGGGCAAUCGGAAUUCUUGGUGUAGCGGUGAAAUGCGUAGAUAUCAAGAGGAACACCUGAGGUGAAGACGGGUUGCUGGGCUGACACUGACGCUGAGGCACGAAAGCUAGGGAGCAAACAGG
rnacentral:rRNA from 1 species